UAAAGCGCGCCGAGGAUGCAACCCCCUGCAAAGAGAGUGCAUUGAGCGUACGGGCUUGCGACACGCAGGACCCGCUUUGCAGGGCCGUGAGCUGUCUGAAAUCCCCGAGGGGGAAUCUACAGGCUGUUUUAUUAAAACUGAAGCAGGACUGCAGGGAGGAAAAAGGCAAAAAGAUAGCUGGUGGGAUGUCCCGAGCGCUGGCUCUGGCCUUUCGCAGGCGCCUGGGGCGCCUCGGUUUCCCCUCUGAGCCGGAAAUACCACUUUUGUCUUUCUUGCCCCGGCCUGGGCACGAAAUACUUCCUCCUCUAAAGCGCAGCAGAAAUUUGAAAGCAGCAGGAAGCAAUGAAAACUCCUUCUUUCUGCCCCCCUUUUCCCCCCCGAUGCUCAUAGGAAAUUAAUGCCUCAAAAUCCUCCGUCCCGCUGUCAAAGGUCACGCACGAGAGCGGUGGCAGAGAUGGCAGGAGGGAACCCGGACCGGAGCCGGCGCUUGUCCCCCGCCGCCUUGGGGCAGCAAAGCUCACUCUGUACAAGCAGCGGGGACGCCGGGGAAAAAGGAACCUCCGCUUGCCCGCCGGGUGCUAGCGGCAGAGCAGCAGCCUCGUCUGUUUUCCUGGCGCGGCCUUUUCGGAGCGGGACGGGUUUUCCUCGCCUCGGGUGACGAAUCCUCCAGCAUAGCUACACCCUGUUCUCGCUGGCUUUUGCAAAAAAUAAAACAAUAAAUAAAUCGUGUUUGUCCA
rnacentral:lncRNA from 1 species